AGCGAACGUUUGCGGCGGGCCUAACACAUGCAAGUCGAACGCACUAGCAAUAGUGAGUGGCGCACGGGUGCGUAACACGUGGGUAAUCAACCCUUCAGCCUGGGAUAACGACUCGAAAGGGUCGCUAAUACCGGAUACGGCGCGAGAGGCUUCGGCUUCUCACGAGAAAGCCACGCAAGGGGCACUGAAGGACGAGCCUGCGGCCCAUCAGCUAGUUGGUGAGGUAAGAGCUCACCAAGGCUAAGACGGGUAGCUGGUCUGAGAGGAUGAUCAGCCACACUGGAACUGAGACACGGUCCAGACUCCUACGGGAGGCAGCAGUGGGGAAUAUUGCGCAAUGGGCGAAAGCCUGACGCAGCCACGCCGCAUGAGCGAUGAAGGCCUCGGGUCGUAAGACGUCUGUGGGGAGAGACGAAGAAAGACCUGUGAAGAGCAGGCCUUGACGGUAGUCUCCUUAGCAAGCACCGGCUAACUACCGUG
rnacentral:rRNA from 1 species